GACGAACGCUGGCGGCGUGCUUAACACAUGCAAGGAGAACGCUGAAGGCGGAGCUUGCUUCUCUGGAUGAGUUGCGAACGGGUGAGUAACGCGUAGGUAACCUGCCUGGUAGCGGGGGAUAACUAUAGGAAACGAUAGCUAAUACCGCAUAAGAGUACAUGUUGCAUGACAUUUGCUUAAAAGGUGCAAUUGCAUCACUAUCAGAUGGACCUGCGUUGUAUUUGCUAGUUGGUGGGGUAACGGCUUACCUAGGCGGCGAUACAUAGCCGACCGGAGAGGGUGAUAGGCCACACUGGGAGGGAGACGGGGCCCAGAGUCCUGCGGGAGGCAGCAGUAGGCAAUCGGCGGCAAGAGACGGGAAUCUGGCCGAACAGGGCGGAGUGAGUGAAGAAGAUGUUCGGGUCGUGAAGCUCUGUUGUGGGAUGAGAACGGGUGUGAGCGUGGAAAGUUCACGCUGUGACGGUAUCUGACCAAGAAGCACCGGCUAACUACGUG
rnacentral:rRNA from 1 species